rnacentral:rRNA from 1 species
CCCUUCGGGGUGCUGACGAGUGGCGGACGGGUGAGUAAUACGUAGGAAUCUACCUUAUUGAGAGGGAUAGCCUAGGGAAACUUAGGGUAAUACCGCAUAGGCCCGAGAGGGGAAAGCAGGGGCUCGCAAGACCUUGCGCGAUAAGAUGAGCCUACGUCGGAUUAGCUAGUUGGUGGGGUAAAGGCCUACCAAGGCGACGAUCCGUAGCUGGUCUGAGAGGACGACCAGCCACACUGGGACUGAGACACGGCCCAGACUCCUACGGGAGGCAGCAGUGGGGAAUAUUGGACAAUGGGCGAAAGCCUGAUCCAGCAAUGCCGCGUGUGUGAAGAAGGCCUGAGGGUUGUAAAGCACUUUCAGUGGGGAGAAAGAGGCCAUUGCUAAUACCAAUGGUGGAUGAUGUUACCCACAGAAGAA